UUCUUUCAAGUAGUAUAAGUGUUACUGUAAAGGGGAGGAACCAUCGCACGUGUAAAGUGCAGAACCGCUGUCGGUGUACCUCGGAAUUAUGGCCACGAGCAGAUGUACAGUACCGUUCCUGAUUUUCAUGCUCUGCUUUGCUGUUUACCACUGCAGUGCGGGAUUCACAGGAGGUCCUAGAUGUGAAGACAAUACCUGCCGCCGAGAUGGUACAGGCUGCCCAAAAGGCUGCAUAUGUCCACUUGACAUGGAAGAAAAGUUUUUUGGAAGACUAUGUGAACCCGAAUAAUGAUCAAAGUGGACUUGGCGGUGUGAUCGUUAAAUAAACAAUCAAGUAU